UUAUAACAUAUGUGACGCGCUCAGCGAUUUUUGGCCCAAUUGAGUUUUUAAUCAUUGUGAGAAAAACGCUUGUAAAGUCACGCGAGUUUUCAUGUCUUAUUUUUUAGGGUUUCCCUUCAAAACAGAGUACUUUUGAAAGUUUAAAGAAUAAAAUAAACUAGAAAGAAAUCAAAAAUACUUUUUGAACAGCCCUUCUCAGCUUCCACGAUAAACAUUUCCCAAAAAUCUAUAUUUAGAAUAAAUACACUGUGUAAACUCAGGAGUCAGGUCAGCGAGUAAACACAUGUAGAUUCACUACCUUUUACGUCAUGUAACUGCAUAUUUGGAGGUUUAAAUAAAUAUUAAGGUAAGUGCAUCUUUUAUUAUUUAUACUAUUUAUGUUCAUUAUUUUUUUCUGAUAUGUUGAAUAUGAAUAACCAUCGUACUUUUACUUUAAACAAUUAAAUAAAUGGGACCAUGACACCUGGUUUAUGUAAAAAAAAAACAUGGCCGGCAUCUAGGUCAGGUGAUGACAGACACAUUUUUUGGGAUACAUAGUUUAUUGCACUCGAUUUGUAUUUGUCAUGGUCUUUAUAACAUAACAUAAUAUAUAAAGAUAUUGUUAACUGUUUUCUAAAUUAGACAUUACAAAAUAAAUUGAAGUCAAGGCUGCAAUGAAAGAUAAAAUGAAACAAAAGACAAGUUGCCACUUCAUUUUUGUUUACAGUAUUUUUUCUACAUCACUAUGACAAAAAAAUGUAACUGGACACAUAACAUAUUUUGCAAUUUGUUUACAAUGAAUGAGCUUGAUAUAGAUCUACAUCAAGUAGAUUUAUACUGUAUAAAAUAUUUCUAAAAAAGGAAAUAUAUGACAAGGCUUCAGUACAGUAGAUCUACUGUAAUUAUUGACAAAUGAAUUUCUAUUACAAUUCAAGAUCAAUUUAGUAAAGGAAAUGUUAUCCCUGUACUGAAUGCUGCUUUUGAAAUACAAUAAAUAAAUCUAGUACUGUGAUUGAAGAUGUCACAAGAUAAAUAUCAAAAUGCAUUUAUUUUUAUUAGAUCUAGCCCUUUGCCUUUGGUAGUCAUAUUAUAUUCACAUUACUCAUACCACAUAGCAUAUUCUACCAGCAGGGUUUCCAUUAAAUUCCAAACAUUGGCAGUCAAAGACUGCAAAAUGUAUGUAAUUGGAAGUCACUUUGUAGGUAAAGAAUGAAAAGCAUUACAUUUUGGAAGCCAAAAUCAAGGUGUAAAUGACUCCCAAACUUUAAUAACAGAAGCCCUGCUACCAGGAUAUUUUUAACAUUUAUGAGCCAGCAAUUUUUGCUGAUGAAAUAUUUUGUGUUGUUGUUUUAGGUCUGACAGCCAACAUACAUUUAAGAUCUUCAACUUAGUUCAUCAGAGUUUUGAAGUAGAUAAUAUGAUUAUCCAGCAUGUUGGAGCUAUAUUCUUCAAGGAAAUGUACUGAGGACAUAGAUAGUUCACCUAUUUGCUGAUGAAUAUACUAAACUAUUGUUGGAAAUGAGGCACAAUGUGUGAUAUAGUUCUAUGCCCUAUUGAGCACCAGGGUUAUGGAGUAAAAAAGACAAUCACUUGUAUCAACUGUACUGUAUUGGUCAAGAUAAAAAACACUUCAAUUGGGAUGGCAUGUGAGAAGUCAAUGACUUGUCUAUGUUUGACAGUAAACCAAAAGUGAAUUACAUUCUCAUAGAAUUUGUCUUUAGAAGUAUCCCUGAAAAAGCUGAAUACUACAGUGGCAGGUGUUACAGUAUUUUUACUUAAUUGUGAAACAAGUUUUUGCAAGUUUUAUAUAUGAAUCACUUUUUGCUUACAAAAACUGAAGACAUAAGCGGAGACAUAGUUGCUAUUACCCUGUUUGGGUCAAACCCUCAACAUGGGGUUGCAAGACUAUAAUUCAAGGACAUAAGUGAACUGUCAUUUGUGACUUCCCAUGUGAUUGCUAGAAUCUGUUAUUGUUAUUGUUUUAAAUUAAUUGAAAUUAUUUCAAUUUAAAAAUAUACUAAUAUAUUAUUCAUAUUAUACAAUUUAAAAUACACUGAUCAGAAUAUGAUUACACUGUCAAUAUCUGUAACUGAAAAUAAAGGAACAUAACUAGUGCAAGCUCUUUCUAUUUAUUUUUUGGUUAAAAUUCUGAAAGACUUUUGAAGUUAUUGUGAAAAGGAAUAUAAAAUGCAAUUAUUUUAAAUCAUUCAGUUAUUUUGCAUUUUUUGUUACCAUGGCAACCAAAAUACACCAUUUUUGCAAUCAGUGCAUACAAAGAUAUUUGUUUUGCAUUGGAUUCAUAUUUUAUAUGCUAUCAUGUUAUAGAUGUGCAUUUUAAAGUUAACUAACUUAAGUUAUGAUAUUAACCUUAAUCAUGGAAAAGUUACUGUAAUUCUGAGAAUUUAAUUCUUAUGUUUAAAUUUAAUAGCA